GACGAACCGUGCGAACGUUGUUCGGAAUCACUGGGCUUAAAGGGCGCGUAGGCGGGCGGGCAAGUCGGAGGUGAAAUCCCACAGCUUAACUGUGGAAUAGCCCCGAUACUGCUCGUCUGGAGGGAGAUAGGGGCGUGCGGAACUUCCGGUGGAGCGGUGAAAUGCGUAGAUAUCGGAAGGAACACCGGUGGCGAAAGCGGCGCGCUGGAUCUCUUCUGACGCUGAGGCGCGAAAGCCAGGGAGCAAGCGGGAUA
rnacentral:rRNA from 1 species